rnacentral:rRNA from 1 species
GCUUGGUUGAUUCUGCCAGCAGUCAUAUGCUUGUCUUAAAGAUUAAGCCUUGCAUGUGUAAGUAUGAAUUGAUUCAGAUUAUGAAACUACAAAUGACUCAUUAAAUCAAUUAUAGUUUGUUUGAUGGUAUGCCCCUACUCAGAUAACUAUAGUAAUUCUAGAGCUAAUACGUGCAACAAACCCUGACCUUUGGGAGGGAUACAUUUAUUAGAUAAAAGGUUGAUGCGGACUUUGCCCGUUGUUCUGAUGAUUCAUGGUAACUUGAUGGAUCACACCGCCCCUCGUGCUGGCGAUGCAUCAUUCAAAUUUCUACCCUAUUAACUUUCGAUGAUAUGAUAGUUGUCUACCAUGAUGGUGACGGGUAACGGAGAAUUAGGGUUCGAUUUUAGAGAGGGAGUAUGAGAAACGACUACUACAUCCAAGGAAGGCAGCAAGCGCGCAAAUUACCCAAUCUUGACAUGGGGAGGUAGUGACAAUAAAUAACAAUAUUGGACUCUUUGAGUUUGGUAAUUAGAAUUAGUGCAAUUUAAAUCCCUUAACGAGGAUCAAUUGGAGGACAAGUCUAGUGCCAGUAGCCAUGGUAAUUCCAACUGCAAUAGCAUAUAUUUGAGUUGUUGCAGUUAAAUAGCUCAUAGUUGGACCUUAGGUUGAGUCGAUCAGUCCGCCUUGUUGUGUGCAUCGGUCAUCUCGUCCCUUCUGCCAAUGAUGCGUGUCUAGCUUAGUUGGUCCGGUCGUGGUUGUGACGCGGUUACUUUGAAGAAAUUAGAGUGCUCAAAGCAAACCCACGCUCAGGAUACAUUAUCAUGGGAUAACAUCACAGAAUUUUGUUCCUAUUGUGUUGGCCUUGGGGAUUGGAGUAAUGAUUAAGAGGGAUAGUUGGGGGCAUUCACAUUUCAUAGUUAGAGGUGAAAUUCUUGGAUUUAUGAAAGAUGAACCACUACGAAAGCAUUUGCUAAGGAUGUUUUCAUUAAUCAAGAAUGAAAGUUGGGGGCUGGAAGAUGAUCAAAUAUCGUCCUAGUCUCGACCAUAAAUGAUGCCGACCAAGGAUCGGUGGAUGUUGCUGUUAGGACUCCACCAACACCUUAUGAGAAAUCAAAGUCUUUAGGUUCCAAGGGGAGUAUGAUCGCAAGACUGAAACUUAAAGGAAUUGUCAGAAAGGCACCACCAGGAGUGGAACCUGCAGCUUAAUUUGACUCAACAAGGGGAAACUUACCAGGUUCAGAUAUAGCAAAGAUUGACAGACUGAGAGCUCUUUCACGGAAAUAGGUACAUAUGUAUAAAAUCUGAUUUGGGAGGUAAAGUCUCCCAAACAGAAUGUCAAACCAUACAAGGUAGCUAGGAGUUUAUCUUCUACAGUUGAGGUAAACUCCUUGAUCACCGUUCGGUACUCUUACAAACUCAUGCAAAUUACCACACCAUCAUGUAUCACACGGCCACAAUUCCACCCAUUGUGAUGUUUACAAAACAUCCUAUAAAAAUAUUAUGGAAGACCCAAUCCUCCAUCGCCCGGCCAACUCCUUUAAUUAUAUAUAUUUCCCGGCCGGGUAUUAGUAGCCUAGUUUAUUUCACUGCACGUACACCGUCAUAUCUC